CUAGGGGUAGCUUAAAGGUUAGAGCAACGUAAUAUGUAAUUUGUAAAAAUUAUUAACAGCAUUCAUAACUAAGCAUUGGGAGCCGUUUAUGGAGGUUCGAGUCCUCCCCCCUGGG
rnacentral:tRNA from 1 species